GGACAGGGCUGUGCCACUGAGACUCUGGAGCCUGCAGGGUAAAGGCUGCCCAGAGCUAAUUCCUGCUUCUGGCCUUCCUGGGUCCCAGAGGCCUUAGUCCUGACCACACAAUGGAGAAGCCCCUGCAGGCUCUCAAGAGGAAGCCUCGGAACUGGGUUUCGUAUUAACUCCCUCAGGCCUGCCGUAACAAGGGGCUACAAGCUGUGUAUCUUAAAUGACAGACAUGUAUUGCCUCACUGUUCUGGAGGUCUGAAACGCAAUCUGUCAAAAUUGAGUCCCAAAUCAAGGUGUUUGCAAGGUUGGUUGCCUCUGCGGGCAGUGCGGGAGCAUCUGUGUCCUGUAUCUCUCCGAGAUCCUGGUGGUCUGAUGCCAUCUUUGGCAUUCCUUGGCUUGUAGCUGCCUCACUGCCGUCGUCCUAUGACAUGCCCUUUGUGUCCCUGUCUUCACAGGGCCGUCUUUUUAUAAGAACCAGUCAUAUUGGAUGAGGGCCCAGCCCCCAUUCCAGUAUGACCUCAUCUUAACCGAUUACAUCUGCAAUGACCCCAUUUCCAAAUAAGGUCACACAGUGAGGCUCUGGGGGUUAGCAUUUCAAUCUAUGAAUUUUUGAGUGGAUGGCCUUCAUCCCAUAAUAGGACUGGAGGGCAGAAGCUUUGGACCAGUUAAGCCUCAUCCCCAUGUAUUAUGGUAAAAGCCAAGACAAGAGAGCCUGGAGGUAUCCCAUUUGGGAAAAGGCACCACAGUCGGAAGACUUCUACCCACAGCAGAGGUACAGAGUGACAAAAAGGCGCUCAACUCGAUGUCAGAAUCCCCACGUUCCAACCCCAGUUCUGCCAUCAGAUCCAGGGCAAUUACUUGACCGCCAUGAUUCUCCGGUAAAAGGUUGAGCAUGACCCUGCCCUACCUUGGGAUUUUUGUAGGCAACAGUAUCAUGUGGUGAGCUGAGGUGAGUUUGGGGGAUAGGUUGAGAACAAUGAUACAGCUGAUAUCUUCCAAGAGACUCUGUCCCACAUUUCUUCUGUUUACGUGGCAGCAGAGACCCAAAGCUCCCUGAAUUUGCAGUGACAUUGCUUCCUAUAUGGAGGUUCUCAGGUUUCAGUGUAAGGGGAAGACCAGGGAACAGGCUGAAGAGAAGUGCCCUGUGCUCCAGACCUGGGAAAACAAGAAUUUCCCCAUUCCAGGCUUCUGCCAGGUGUGUGGGGAAAGCAUGACGGCUUCCUAAGGUACUUGUUCUCUCCUGUUCUAGAAACGGAUCUCACCUCCAAGAGAAAAGUGGAUCAAUAGUAGAGCCGUGGGUGUAGCAUCAGUCUUCCCUUGAGUAAAACUGUUCACUCACAGUGUGAAAGUUCUGUUGCUGCCGUAGGAUCCUACAGUGGCAUCCUCUGGGGUUUGGUUUGAUCAUUUAGGAGGGGCGGAAAAAAGCCCUGUUACCUACACAAGACAGUAAGGAAGAAGUCUCAUGGAUUCCCAAAAUGCAGACUGGGCACAAGCCUGGCCAAUGGCUGGGGUCAAAUCUGAGACCCUGGGAUUAGAAAUCAUGUGAGUUCCCUCUUUUCCUACCAGCUGGGGACCCUGAAAUAAAUCUAUUUUGGCAAAGUAUAGGCCCUGGAUU
rnacentral:lncRNA from 1 species